AUGAAGAGCAGCACGCUGGUGGCGAUCCUAGUCCUCCAGGCCGUCAUGGUCAUGGGGAUCCUCUCACACUCACUGGCCGCGGACGACAAUUUCCCGAAGUGCUGCGACAACUGCAACUCCUGGUCAGGGGCCCAAUUCUGUGACGACGUGGGCCCCAAGUGCCGCGACGGCUGCGUGAACUGCCACGUGGUGCAGACGAGGCCCGUGAAGACGUUCCGGUGUGGGGAUGGACGCGCCGCCCUCCCAGAGAAUCCCUGCCCGCCGCCGUGCAAAAAGAACUGA
rnacentral:rRNA from 1 species